CGCUGGCGGCGUGCCUAACACAUGCAAGUCGAACGGGGCACCUUCGGGUGCUUAGUGGCGAACGGGUGAGUAACGCGUGAGAAACCUGCCUUUCAGUGGGGGACAACAGUUGGAAACGACUGCUAAUACCGCAUGACACAUUCGGGCGGCAUCGCUUGAAUGUCAAAGAUUUUAUCGCUGAAAGAUGGCCUCGCGUCUGAUUAGCUAGUUGGUGAGGUAACGGCCCACCAAGGCGACGAUCAGUAGCCGGACUGAGAGGUUGACCGGCCACAUUGGGACUGAGAUACGGCCCAGACUCCUACGGGAGGCAGCAGUGGGGAAUAUUGGGCAAUGGACGCAAGUCUGACCCAGCAACGCCGCGUGAAGGAAGAAGGCUUUCGGGUUGUAAACUUCUUUUAAGUGGGAAGAGCAGAAGACGGUACCACUUGAAUAAGCCACGGCUAACUACGUG
rnacentral:rRNA from 1 species